rnacentral:rRNA from 1 species
UUUUAACGGGRAARSCCUUACCAAGGCUUGACAUACACCGGAAACGGCCAGAGAUGGUCGCCCCCUUGUGGUCGGUGUACAGGUGGUGCAUCCAAGUCGUCAGCUCGUGUCGUGAGAUGUUGGGUUAAGUCCCGCAACGAGCGCAACCCUCGUUYUAUGUUGCCAGCGCGUUAUGGCGGGGACUCAUAGGAGACUGCCGGGGUCAACUCGGAGGAAGGUGGGGAUGACGUCAAAUCAUCAUGCCCCUUAUGUCUUGGGCUUCACGCAUGCUACAAUGGCCGGUACAAAGGGCUGCGAUACCGUAAGGUGGAG